UACGUAGGCAGCGAGCGUUGUUCGGAAUUACUGGGCGUAAAGAGUGUGUAGGCGGUGUUCCCAGUCCGUUGUGAAAUCUCCCGGCUUAACUGGGAGGGUGCAGCGGAAACUAGAAUGCUAGAGGGUGGGAGAGGUAAGCGGAAUUCCUGGUGUAGCGGUGAAAUGCGUAGAUAUCAGGAGGAACACCUGUGGUGUAGACAGCUUACUGGACCACUUCUGACGCUGAGACACGAAAGCGUGGGUAGCAAACAGG
rnacentral:rRNA from 1 species